rnacentral:snRNA from 13 species
AGCUUUGUGCAGCAGCAGUAUCACAGUCAGUGAGGUUUAUCUGAGGUGAGAUUAUUGCUAAUUGAAAACUUUUUCCUCCCCAGCUACUCCGGGGGCUGAGGCAAGAGAAUCACCUAAGCCCAAGAGUUGGAGGUUGCUAUGAACCUGUGUGACACCACAGCACUCUACUGAGGACAAUAAAGUGAGACUCUGUCUCUACAAAAAAAAAAAAAAAAGAAAUCUUUUUCCAAUACCCCACCAUGUCAACUUGCAAUAUAGUUAGCACUGGCAAUUUUUGAAGGACUGUACGGA